CUAAAGCCCCCCGCUUACACCGGAGAAAUGUCUGUUCAACUCGGACCAUUUUGA
rnacentral:tRNA from 1 species